rnacentral:rRNA from 1 species
UACGGAGGGUGCGAGCGUUGUCCGGAAUCACUGGGCGUAAGGCGCGUAGGCGGCCCAUUAAGCGUGUGGUGAAAGCCCGGGGCUCAACUCCGGGUCGGCCAUGCGAACUGGUGGGCUCGAGCACUGUAGAGGCAGGUGGAAUUCCGGGUGUAGCGGUGGAAUGCGUAGAGAUCCGGAAGAACACCGGUGGCGAAGGCGGCCUGCUGGCAGCUGAGCGU